UACGUAGGGUGCGAGCGUUAAUCGGAAUUACUGGGCGUAAAGCGUGCGCAGGCGGUCUGUUAAGACAGAUGUGAAAUCCCCGGGCUUAACCUGGGAACUGCAUUUGUGACUGGCAGGCUAGAGUAUGGCAGAAGGGGGUAGAAUUCCACGUGUAGCAGUGAAAUGCGUAGAGAUGUGGAGGAAUACCGAUGGCGAAGGCAGCCCCCUGGGCCAAUACUGACGCUCAUGCACGAAAGCGUGGGGAGCAAACAGG
rnacentral:rRNA from 1 species